GCCGCCUUGGCGCAGCGGUAGCGCGGCGGUUUUGUAAACCGCAGGUCACCCGUUCGAAUCGGGUAGGCGGCUCCA
rnacentral:tRNA from 1 species